AAACAAGUGCAAAGUGGACGAUUUUACAAAAGCGUUUAAAAAACGAUAGCAGUUAAAUGGAGUCUUUAGCAUUGAUUAAAAAAGAGCAUGGUGUUGAAAGUGCAAAAGUAUGUCGAUGGUGUCUGUCGGUCGAUGAUGCUUUGAAUGCUCUAACGCGCGGCGAAGCCGGACAAUCUAAACUUCAAAAGCUCUCCGAAUGCACCGGUGCACAGAUUAAUAUCUUACAUGGAGUUCCAUCGUAUUUGUGCGCGAUGUGCGAAGAGCGUUUGAAGAAGAUGGAUCUGUUUCGCUGGCGAUGCAUUGAAAACAAUGAUUCGGUCGAAAAAUUUAUCGAACAGCAGAAUACAGUGAACAACGAAUUAGAAAUCACUCAAGACCAUCUUGACCACUCUGGCGAACAAACGGUUGCCACACCAUUGUCAAUUAAAACCGUUUCCUUCCUUGAAACAGCGAAGGAUUUGCAGUUGAAUCAGAAAUGUUGUAACGUUCAUCAAGCGAACAGGACGUAUGAAUGUUGUGGCAACCAACCAUUCGAAGUAGAAGAAAACCCAAUUACAAUCAAAUUAGAGUAUGUAGAUGUCGGUGAGCAGUAUCGGCGGCAAACGAAUGUUAAACUGGAUCAUGAACAAGACGACCUGCAAACAAAUUCUUUAGAAUUGCUCUGUCAGGAUCGAGAAGAUCACUCUGUGUCAAGAAACCUGUGUGCAGAUAGCACAAAGUUGUCA